UACAGAGGGGGCAAGCGUUGUUCGGAAUUACUGGGCGUAAAGGGCGCGUAGGCGGCCUUCUAAGUCGAACGUGAAAUCCCCGGGCUCAACCCGGGAACUGCGUCCGAUACUGGAAGGCUUGAAUCCGGGAGAGGGAUGCGGAAUUCCAGGUGUAGCGGUGAAAUGCGUAGAUAUCUGGAGGAAUACCGGUGGCGAAGGCGGCAUCCUGGACCAUUACUGACGCUGAGGCGCGAAAGCUAGGGGAGCAAACGGG
rnacentral:rRNA from 1 species